CCGGCACGGGUGAGUAACGCGUAUCCAACCUGCCGUCUACUCUUGGACAGCCUUCUGAAAGGAAGAUUAAUACAAGAUGGCAUCAUGAGUCCACAUGUUCACAUGAUUAAAGGUAUUCCGGUAGACGAUGGGGAUGCGUUCCAUUAGAUAGUAGGCGGGGUAACGGCCCACCUAGUCUUCGAUGGAUAGGGGUUCUGAGAGGAAGGUCCCCCACAUUGGAACUGAGACACGGUCCAA
rnacentral:rRNA from 1 species